rnacentral:rRNA from 1 species
UGAAGCUGGAAUCGCUAGUAAUCGCGGAUCAGAAUGCCGCGGUGAAUACGUUCCCGGGUCUUGUACACACCGCCCGUCACACCAUGGGAGUCGGAAAUGCCCGAAGUCAGUGACCCAACCGUAAGGAGGGAGCUGCCGAAGGUGGAGCCGGUAACUGGGGUGAAGUCGUAACAAGGUAAC